GGUAAAAACUUGUGCUUAUCUUUAAUUGAGAUUCACUGGUAUAACAUCACUUUGUUUGCAGGUUCUUCAAAAUGCGAAGGAACUAAAACAAAAAUUAAAGGACCAUCUUCGAAAUAAAUCAGACUUGUUCAAGAACGGUCUUCUAGAGAAUGAUAAGGUUAUGCUCGGAAAUAAUGGAUGGAAAGAGAUGUAUUAUUAAGUAAAGUUUUCUGCAGACAAUCCAAUAGAGAUUGAAAGCAUCCGAAAGAAGCUGGAAAACUAUGUGGAAGCUCUAUGUUGGGUAUUGCGUUACUAUUUUGCUGGUGUGCCUUCUUGGUCGUGGUAUUACCCUUUUCAUUAUGGUCCUUUUGUAUCAGAUCUAAGGGGUCUCGGUUCCCUCAAACAAGAAUUUAGAAUUGGGUAACCUUUUAAUCCAUUUGAUCAACUCAUGUCUGUGCUUCCAUCAAAGAGUUCUAAUGCACUGUCAGAAGCUUAUCGGAAUCUUAUGACCUGUAAGGAUUCACCGAUCAUUAAGUUCUACCCACAAGGUAGGACACUUGCUUACAAUCUCAUGCUUUUGAAAAUUCAUGUCAUGCAUCAAACUUUCCUUGUGAUGACAGAUUUUGUAGUGGACACCAAUGGAAAGAGGUUUUCUUGGCAGGUUUAUAAACAUAAACUUCUAUCAAUUUUUAACCAUUUCGUAGCAAUUGGAGAUUAAGACAUAAGUAUCCUUAUUGGUAAAAUUUAUAUUUGUUCUUUCCCUCUUAUUUAUAUCAAGUAUUUAUGAUCACAAUUUUUUUUGUUACCGCCUGGGAAUAAAUACCUUAUGAUCAUGCCUCUGUUUCUAUUUCAUUUAUGUUAGUCAAUGGUAUAGCUGAUGGAAAGAUGUGAUCGAUAUGCACGAUGAUCGAAAAGAGGCAAUUUCCUAUGAAAUUUGGAUCAUAAAUAGAUGCACAAAACACCUUCAGUGCCAAAAUUCGGUGUUUGGGAUGAAAAGGGUCCAAAAUCAGGAGAUGGGUUCACUGUUAUCUUUAACAAAGUUAAACAAGAGAAACAAAAUGCUGCUAGUAAGCUUCCGAGAGUUCCAAUAGAUCCAACUAUUCAUCCAAGCAAGCGUAAGAAUCGCGCAAAUCCUGCCUCAAGGUCGAAGAUAUUAUGUUGCAUUAGACCCGCCAUUGAUGAAUGAGUCAUGGGUACUGGCUUAAGGAGCAUCAACCACUCUGAUGAAAAUUUUUCUACAUGUUUGCUCUAUAUCAGCAAGCAUUUGUGAAAUAUUGGGCUAAUUUCGGCUCUAUAUAGGCAAGCAUUUACGAUGAUCUGGUUUAUGUCUUGCAAACAUAGAGACAAGCGAUAUAGUGUAAUGAUAUGUCCGAUUUCUGAAGCAUGAUUUUAUAAUUAGUCAGGAGACUCAGGACGCAUAUUUAUUCUGGAUGUAUACUGACAAGGUUCCCUAUUGCUGCUCUAUUUUAUAGGAAAAGAACUGUUGGUCUAUUUAAUAAGAAAAGAACCGCUUGAAGUUUAUUGCAUCUACCUGUUUCAAAUUCAAUCAUAAGAUAUGUUUGAAGUAACCUAAAGCCUCGUUUCUAGACAGUGGGGCUUCCAUGAUAUUAUAUUUUGAAUCAUUGGCACUUGCAUAAGCCUAACGUGUGUUUGGCGAGCUCUUAAAAUUGAGUCAAGACUAAAGCUGACCAUAAAAGAGUUCUAAUGCACUGCCAGAAGCUUAUUGGAAUCUUAUGACCAGUAAGGAUUCACCGAUCAUUAAGUUCUACCCACAAGAGCCUUACAUGACAAUCUUCCACUGGGAUUUUCCUCAAAGCCUAGAAGACCAGUAUGGUGGCUUUCUAGCCCUCUCGUUGUCUAGCGAUGACUUUAGAGAUUAUGCCGAUCUUUGCUUUAAGUCAUUUGGAGACCGAGUGAAGAAUUGGAUCACAUUGAACGAGCCAUGGACAAAUUGUCAUUGAGGUUAUGCUGUAGGGAUAUUUGCACCUCGUCGUUGCUCUCCGUGGGAGGCUGGAAAUUGCAGUGCUGGUGACUCCGGUCGAGAGCCUUAAUAUUGUUGCUCGUCACCAGAUUCUAGUCCAUGCUUCUGCUGUUAAGCUAUAUAGAGAUACUUUUUGUUUUAAUGAAAGAGGAAUUUUAGUCAUGUACUUUGGACAAAAGAAAAAACUUGUACUAAAGUCAUUGUAAUGAACCAAUGAAUUGUUCCUUAUGUUUGGUUGUUAAUUUGCUUGCAAAAUUUGGAGUUUCA